rnacentral:rRNA from 1 species
UACGUAGGGGGCAAGCGUUGUCCGGAUUUAUUGGGCGUAAAGAGCGUGUAGGCGGCCUGAAAGGUCAGCUGUGAAAACUCGAGGCUCAACCUCGAGACGUCGGUUGAAACCAUCUGGCUAGAGUCCGGAAGAGGAGUGUGGAAUUCCCGGUGUAGCGGUGAAAAGCGCAGAUAUCGGGAAGAACACCCGUGGCGAAGGCGGCACUCUGGGACGGUACUGACGCUGAGGAGCGAAAGCGUGGGGAGCGAACAGG